CACAUACUCCCUUCGUCCGGAAAUACUUGUCCUAGAGAUGAAUGUAUCUAAACUUAUUUUAGUUAUAGAUACAUUCAUUAUAUUCAUUUUUAGGACAAGUAUUUCCGGACGGAGGGAGUAUUUC
rnacentral:pre_miRNA from 2 species